rnacentral:tRNA from 1 species
AGGGAUGUGGCGCAGCUUGGUAGCGCGUUUGCUUUGGGUAANGUGUUUCCUUUGGGUAAAAAAUAUCACAGGUUCAAAUCCUGUCAUCCCUA